rnacentral:rRNA from 1 species
GACGAACGCUGGCGGCGUGCCUAACACAUGCAAGUCGAACGAGGUCCAUCCUUCGGGAGAAGACCUAGUGGCGAACGGGUGAGUAACACGUGAAGAACCUGCCCCCGAAGACCGGGAUAACCCUCCGAAAGGAGAGCUAAUACCGGAUACCCCCACGAACCGCAUGGUUUGGUGAGGAAAUGGAUUCCGCUUCGGGAGGGCUUCGCGGCCUAUCAGCUAGUUGGUGGGGUAACGGCCCACCAAGGCAUCGACGGGUAGCUGGUCUGAGAGGACGAUCAGCCACACUGGGACUGAGACACGGCCCAGACUCCUACGGGAGGCAGCGGUGGGGAAUCUUGCGCAAUGGGCGAAAGCCUGACGCAGCAACGCCGCGUGGGGGAUG